UUUAAAGUUAAAAUGUGCAAUCUUUAUUCUGACAUUCAGAUACAUCAAAAAAAAAAUUUUUUUUUCAGUAAUAAAACUAACUGCAGCAUUUUAGCUGCAACUGGCUUUUGAGGAUAAAGCACAUGCACCUGUUCCAGUUGGUUUAUUGCACAUCAUUAGGUACAGUAAUCAUGUAUUAUUCUCCAUUCACAUGUGUAGUAGGAAUAUCCGUUUCCCACCACCAUAUACAUUUUCCAUAAACAAAACUAAAUUUUCACAUAAGUUGUUAUGACAUAAAUCAUAAAAUAUAUUUGGUAAUAUAAUAUAGUUAAUUGUAGCACUUUUUAGGUGUAACUUAACUUUUGCCCUGGGAGUUUAUUUCCCCACAGAAAAACAGUCAGCAAUGAGGAAUCAAUACUGUCAACAGUGCUGCACAUACCACCCACCACUACUUAGUGAAUUUUUUCACUGGCAAUUAGUGCAGCAGAAACAUAGGAAAGAAAGCAUUGUGCUUAGGUUAACCAGUUUGAUUCAGCAUUGAGUACCAAGUUUGUACAUGAUUUUGUUAAAAAUGCUAUCCUGAUAAGACAUUUUGCCAUGAAACAAAAGCAUGCAAGGUAAAAUGUUAAAUAAAAUGCACCAUAGGAAUGUUUUAAAAUUUGUUCCAUGGUGUUAUACAGAAUUGAUUAUAACCAGUUAAAAAAUUUUUCAUUUCAAAAUGAAAGCGUUUAUUAAUUGUGAUAAGAGAAAAUUAGCAUGGUUUUACAUGAUCCCUCAAUGUUGGCAACACAUAUGCUAAAACAUACAUUUGAUAAAAACUUCCUAAGAAACAGUCCAAAAAUUUCAUAAGGCAGCUUACUAAAAGCUUCAGUAUAUUUUAAGUAUAUUUUGUUCCUAAGUAUAUUUUGCCCUAUUAAAAUGUUAACUUUUUGGAAUUGUAUUAUCAGCCAAUCAAAGCCUGCUAAACCUAAUACUGCUGCAUAUAAAAUACUAAUAUAUAUUAAGAAGGUCUCUGCUAAAGAAAUUAUUUUUGGUAUGGUACAAAGUAGAGAAAUCUAUCAUUCAGUGAAC
rnacentral:lncRNA from 1 species